rnacentral:lncRNA from 1 species
UCACCCAUCAAAUGCUCCCAUAGUGCCAUGUGCAAUUCUCCUUCGCUGGUGUCCUAGAGUCUUGUGGUUCAUCACAUCACUGAUUACUUUUUUCCCUACAAGCCUUCCCGAACAGAUCUCCAUGAAGGUAGGUGACAAAUCCCUUUUGUCUCUGGCUGCGCCCUCAUUGCCUGGCACAAAGCCUUUGCUAUUUGUUGAAGGAAAGGAGCAACAAAUGAAUGUGUGAAUCAAUGCGUGGGUGGAUGCUUUAGCGUAUCCACUGGUAAGAACGCCUUUCUCUUCUUCUGUGGUCCAUCUCAGUGUGGAUUUCAGGGGAAGUUGGGUCUACGGGUCUGGAACUCAGCAAGGAGAAAGAAACCUUUAGAACCGAAAUAAAUAUCUGUGAAGUGUAAACUUCAACAAGUUUUUAUGGCAACGGGUUCUAAGUGCUUUUCCAUGUUAUUAACCCAUUUCAUCCUUAUGACAACCCUCUGAAGUAUCAUUAUCUCCUUUGACUGAUGGGGGAACAGAGGCACAGAGCAGUUAAAUAGGUAUUCAUGUCGUUGAAGACGUAAACGUUUGUGGGGUUUUUUGUUUUUUCAAAAGGUCGUCACAGAAGCCAAAGGAAAGGGUGGAGGAAGCAGCCGUGUGAAAAAUCGCCUCUCUUGACUGGAAAGAGUGAACCUACUGGGUGGGUGCCCGCACCCCUGCUGGCCUCUCCUGAGCCCUUCUCCAGCUGUGGCUGCGUCUGCCUCUCCCCAAACCCAGCUGGAGGUCUUUGAGGGCCCGAUCUUCUCUGGAUCCCUGAGGCCUCAGAGAAAGGUGAAGAGAGACAGAGACGGAGGAGAAAGAAAGAGACCAAGGAUAGAUGUGGAACCAGAGAAGGGAAUACAGGGAUAAAACUGAUUCAGAGAAGAUCUUGGAAGGGCCUCGGGUGGGGGCAUGUAGGGGGAGGGUAUUAUAAAUGCAGAUCUCAGGCCCUCCGGAAGCUGCAAGAAGUGAUCUCACAGAUGCCAGUGACCCAGCCCUGAUUCAGCCCUGCCUAGCCCUGACCCUACUCUGGCCCCUCUCUGACCCUGUUGUCUCCACCCUGACCCCACUCUGACCCCACCUUGGCCCCUCUCUGACCCUGCUCUGUCUCCACCCUGAUUACUCCCUACCCUCCAUCUCACCCCUGCCCUGCCCUGAUGCUUUAACCCAGCAGUGACCUCUUCUUGACCCAAUCCUGACCCUCCUCAGACCCCACGCUGAACUCGUCCUGAUCAGCCUCAGCCCCAUUGUCACUCACGUGGAGCUAGGACGGAGGAUGAGUCCAUGGCCAACGUCUCAACCUCCUGGAACUCCCCCAACUGUCAUGGAACCUCCCCCCUGCCCCCAACUGCAGGCCACACUGCAGCCUGGAGGCCUGCCUGUGGACAGCAGGAGAGACCAAGAAACACAGAAGAAGGGACAGAGAGAUGCAAAGGCCAAGGGACAGGGCCUGAACCCCGGAGAGAGACCAACGGACUUCCAGGUAGCCAUGGAGGUGCCUGCAAGGAGGGGCUGAGGCAGUUGGCAGGCUGUUGAGUGCAUCUGGGGACUGACCUUGCCCUGCGUCUCCUCAUGUCCCAGAGGCCCCAAUCUGGCCACGAGAGCACCCAGCCAGAUUUCCAUCCAGAAUCUCCAAAUAACAACCAAGAUGAGACCCAAAACCCUUCGCCACUUACCUACAGGCCCCAGGUCAGUACUCAGGACUCUCCACCGAUUGUCCACAGUCGCCGGGUCAGUAUCCAAGAACCCCUGCCCAUUAGCCACAGUCGCCGGGUCAGUAUCCAAGAACCCCUGCCCAUUAGCCACAGUCGCCGGGUCAGUAUCCAAGACCCUCCACCAGUGAGCAGUCGCCGAGUCAGCAUCCAAGACACACCAUCCAUUUUCAGCAGUCGCCGAGUCAGUACCCAAGACACACCAUCCAUUUUCAACAGUCGCCGAGUCAGUACCCAAGACACACCGCCACUUACCUACAGUCGCUGGGUCAAUAGCCAAGAGCUUCUACCAGUUCUCCAAACUCGCCGCCCCAGCGUCCAAAGCCCUCCAUUGAUUACGCACACCACCCUGAGGAGUAUAGAAUCAAGUGACGACAGUAGUGAAGUCAGUCUCCCGGACCACCGGCCAAAAACUGGCAUCUGGCCGGUAAUCCGGGCCAAAGUCGACAUCCCCCCUUCAAUUACUGACAGCCCCGAGGCCAGUAUCAAAAGCAUGGAAUCGAUUACCUGGGCCUCCCAGGAGAGUCUCAAAGGCUCUACGGACAGCUCCCAAUUCAACCAAACUACUCUAGAGAAAAGCACCCUCAGCUCACCAUCAGGCCACGACUUUGAGGUCAAUUCUGGCAGGUUUCAGAACAAGUAUAAACGCAGCCGUUCACCGCUGCCCGUAGGCUGGCGGCUGCUGCAUGAGGCCAAGAAGAUCAGCCGCCUGCUGAGUCUGGCACUGAGCCUGGCUGGCAUGGUGAUCAUCGGUCUCAUCUCUCUGGGCCAGCCCUGGAUCCACUUCCAGGUGCCAUUGCUGCCCCCUUGGGACCCUGCGGGCCCCUUGACCAUCCCCGUCAGCACCAUCUUCUUUAUGCAGUGCCCUGACAGCUCCUGCCUGCAUGAGUACAACCAGGAUAUUUACUUUCUGGACUUCUCCUGGGCCUUCCUCAUCAUCGCCAGCAUCACCAACGUCUGCCUCUGCAUCAUCCUCAUAAACAUGAACUUCUUCAGCUGGUCCAACAUGCCAGCACUGGACUUCACCAACAUCGUCCUCAGCAUCCUGACAGGGACGAGCACGAUCUUGGGUGUCUUGUGCUACCUGCUGCAGGCUGACGAGUUCCUGCAGGAAGGCAUGACCUACAGGCUGGGGCGGAGCUUCUACCUGGCAUGGACCAGCGUCUUCUUCUUCAUGAUGACUGGUUUCUUGUCCUAUCUCAACUACAUGAAUUUCUGGUCCAUCCUGGCGAUCCAGGCUGUCUGGACUUAGGACGUGGGAAUGACCCCGCCUCUGACCUGCUCCCACAGCUCGCUGCCAAGCACCUGGCAGGACUUUUUCAGUCUCUUCUGAAUCCCUCCCCAACUCAGAUUAAUAAUUUGUACUUUUAAAUAAUCUGUAUUUUUCGCCCAAAAUAUUCUUUUAGCUCAGUACCUUGUAAAUGUUCUUUGGAAAUGCCAUCCCUCCCUGGGGCCAUCCCUCAGGCCCUCCAGGCUAGAGGGACAGGUGAGGAAAGGGGCUCAGGGGAAAGAGACUCGAGGCACAAGGUCAGCAAAGAGGCUGAGCCGAUGGCUCCUGGCAUACAGAUGGUGCUCAAUCAAUGUUUGCUGAAUAGCUCAUUCUCCCCAAGCUCUCUGGACGUCAUUCUGUAUCUUUGUGCUUUUUCAUACUUUUACUGUUUGCAAUCCCAAUAAUUUCCCCCUCCUGUGAUGAAUUUUCCCUGCACCCACACUUCACCUGCUGCCAUUACCAGCAGCUCCUGCCACCACUUCCUCUUUCUUCUCCCCAAAUCUCCCAACACAAGGCUAUUCUUUUCUUAAAAACUUUGUUUAUUUUCUAUAGGGUCCCGUUGCUUCUCUAAAUUUCUUUCUUUCUUUUUUCCUUUCUUUCUUUCUUUC